AGCGAACGCUGGCGGCAGGCCUAACACAUGCAAGUCGAACGAACCUUUCGGGGUUAGUGGCGGACGGGUGAGUAACACGUGGGAACGUGCCUUUAGGUUCGGAAUAACUCAGGGAAACUUGUGCUAAUACCGAAUGUGCCCUUCGGGGGAAAGAUUAAUCGCCUUUAGAGCGGCCCGCGUCUGAUUAGCUAGUUGGUUGAGGUAAUGGCUCACCAAGGCGACGAUCAGUAGCUGGUCUGUGAGGAUGAUCAGCCACAUUGGGACUGAGACACGGCCCAAACUCCUACGGGAGGCAGCAGUGGGGAAUCUUGCGAAAUGGGCGAAAGCCUGACGCAGCCAUGCCGCGUGAAUGAUGAAGGUCUUAGGAUUGUAAAAUUCUUUCACCGGGGACGAUAAUGACGGUACCCGGAGAAGAAGCCCCGGCUAACUUCGUG
rnacentral:rRNA from 1 species